rnacentral:lncRNA from 1 species
GGGCUGUGUCAGCUGCAAUCUGGGCAACAUUGUGAGAGCCUAAAGGAGAUCCUAGCCCUUGUAGGAAGCCUGCCUCUGUUCCUUCUUUUUCUCACUUCUCCUUGCUUGUCCAUCUUCCUUAUGCUCUGGCUGUGCUGAAUGGCAAUAACACAACUGGCCAGGUAAAAACAGAAGCCAUACAUGUGCUCCUACUUCUGGGAGUGGUUGUGGACUGACCCAUCUCAUGAGUUUCUUGGCCUUCCUCAAUUUAAUAAAUCACUGCUGUGAUGGUGGCUGUAGGUUACUUGCAACUCAGCCAUUUGCUGCUGUUGUAUAUCUUUAAUCUCAGUGAAGGUUGCCCAAAGCAUAUAGAAGAGUUCCUCUGGUAUGUAGCACAGAAAAUCAACAUAAAUACAGGUUCUUGCACACUCAGUAUUAAGGCAAUUUAGUUUCUGUAAAAUGGGUUUCCUGAGCACAUAUAUAAUUCUGCAGUUAAUACUAAACUGAAAUGAUUUAAAAGAUAAAUGAAACAAAAUGGUCAAAUAUACUUUAAAUGAAAUGGGGUCAAAAGGUUAUUUGACCUAAUGACAUAAUUUGUGUUUAACAGCAAGGCCAGUCUGGGCUUUUUAGCUGUCUCCUUACCCUUGGCAGCUGAGAAGACCACCACGCUGAACAGCCCCCUAAUUAGUGUGAUAGCAUUGCCUGGAUUUUGUACUGCAACAUGGCUGUGAUUUGGAGCUUGUCAGCUGAAAACGCUCCACAGAACUGUUGCUCUUUAUCUGGGCUGAGCAAUCAACUUGACAGGAGUAUGUGUUUUACCUGUUUCCCUUGAGCUGGAACUUCAGUACCUGACAGAACUUGGCUGCAUGCAUGAUUUUUCUGGAACUCACAGAGUUGUGCAUAGAAGCUCCUUUCUGCCAUCCUGAACUAGCAGAAAGAAGGACUUCUCCAUUGCUUUCCCUGAUAGGACAAGUUCUCUACUGCAGAUGUCUUGGAAGAAGAGUGAAAUGCUGCUGUCUAGCAUGGAUUCUAAACUUGUCAUUAACUGAUAUAAUGCAGGCUGCUUGAUGGGGAGCAGAGCUGUCCCUGCUUCCUACAUUAAAAGAAUAUGUCCCGCAUUUUGAUCAAAUUAGGUUAUUUCUCUUGCCUUUCUUCUUAUGUUACAGCAUGUUUAACCUUGGUUUUGCACCCCCACUUCUUUUCAUACUCUCACA